rnacentral:rRNA from 1 species
AGCGGCGGACGGGUGAGUAACACGUGGGUAACCUGCCCAAGAGACUGGGAUAACACCUGGAAACAGAUGCUAAUACCGGAUAACAACACUAGACGCAUGUCUAGAGUUUGAAAGAUGGUUCUGCUAUCACUCUUGGAUGGACCUGCGGUGCAUUAGCUAGUUGGUAAGGUAACGGCUUACCAAGGCAAUGAUGCAUAGCCGAGUUGAGAGACUGAUCGGCCACAUUGGGACUGAGACACGGCCCAAACUCCUACGGGAGGCAGCAGUAGGGAAUCUUCCACAAUGGACGAAAGUCUGAUGGAGCAACGCCGCGUGAGUGAAGAAGGGUUUCGGCUCGUAAAGCUCUGUUGGUAGUGAAGAAAGAUAGAGGUAGUAACUGGCCUUUAUUUGACGGUAAUUACUUAGAAAGUCACGGCUAACUACGUGCCAGCAGCCGCGGUAAUACGUAGGUGGCAAGCGUUGUCCGGAUUUAUUGGGCGUAAAGCGAGUGCAGGCGGUUCAAUAAGUCUGAUGUGAAAGCCUUCGGCUCAACCGGAGAAUUGCAUCAGAAACUGUUGAACUUGAGUGCAGAAGAGGAGAGUGGAACUCCAUGUGUAGCGGUGGAAUGCGUAGAUAUAUGGAAGAACACCAGUGGCGAAGGCGGCUCUCUGGUCUGCAACUGACGCUGAGGCUCGAAAGCAUGGGUAGCGAACAGGAUUAGAUACCCUGGUAGUCCAUGCCGUAAGCGAUGAGUGCUAAGUGU